CCAUGUGAGUCCCAAAGUGCAGAGCGUUAUUAGUUUUCCCCAAACAGUUGGUUUGGUUAUUUUUUCCUCCCCAACGGCAAAUAAGUCUCCCCAGCUGAGUUGGUUAAUCGUCUCCCUAUCUAAGUUGUAGGCGCAUAUUCCCAACGGUAUACAACGGUUGGAUUUCUCGUUUUCAGCAAUGAUGAAGAUUGAAGGGAAGCGGUGGAUUCUUGAUGGAGGUCGAAUGGUUUUUUGAGAGGAAACUACAGAUUUUCGGAUUGAGAUGAAUGGACUUAUGAUUGUUCCGUGUUAGAGCUUGGUUGUGCGCGUUGCAGAAGAAAAUAUCGGUUGCGGCAAUGGAAGCUGGUUGCAGAUUUUGGUCGCAGCACCGACUUAUAGCAGAACCAGGAUUGAGAACGAAACUGGAAGAAGGUUGAAGAACCAAUUGGCUAGUGCAGGUUGAAUCAAAGGAUGAUCGAAGGUUGAAGGAGAUGAAGAAGAUUGAUGAUGGAAUAAUGGAAUUGGGGCUGGAUUUGAAGCUUCGAGAAGAUGGAUGAAAAAUGAGCCACCCAAUCUGAACCGUGAAGGUACUCAUUUUGCUUUCUGAAUCCCUUCUUCUACUCUGCCUGUUAUGAAAAUCGGUUAGAAGAAAAAACAGUUAGAGGUUGAAGAAGAAGAUUUGAGUGAAGAGUGUGAAAUUUGUAGAAAAAUCAAGCCCCUCCAAAAGUUGCAGCGAGGUUAUAAUCAGAUUGUUGGGAGUUAAGUUGAGUCCGAACAUCAGUCUCUGAACCUCUCCUUGCUGCUGCCAGGUCCGACGCGUCGUCAUUGUUAUACUAAAGCAGGGUGUGUGGCUCGGGCUUAAUGGACUGCACACUAGUUAUACAACCUUGUGUUCAUGCCUUGAUUCAAAGUUCUAUUCUAACAUGGCUUAGGCUUCAAGCUGGUUAUGGUUUACGGCCUCGCAGAUUUGAUGUAAGCAAGUUCUGUGUCUUAACUCUGCCUUUGAGCUUGAUUGCAACAUGGUUCAUUUGGUAGGUCUGUGUGUUAGAGAACUUAGCUGAUUUUGAGAAAUGUUAAUUUGUGCUUUCACUUAGCAAUUACAAUUCGUUUACUUUUAACUUGUGGUGUGCUGAAAAGCCUUGGUAUUGUUGGACCUUUUUAGGAUGUGAGUUGUUCUUUAAUUAUUCUUCUGUUAUGUAACAGGCCAAUGCAGGUUGAGGUUGAAGACCGUGUGGUUAUCGUGUGCAGUGUAAUCCGGAUGCGGUACGAUGUGAGAUGCCUAAGCUGCCAUAGAAUGGCCAUGUGACAGCAUGUAAAAUCAUUGGCUCAUGGUUGGCUGGUUGAACAAACAAAACCUUCCUAUGAACAUACCAAGAUGGAUUUGGCCAAUCAAGAUCGACUACAGAACAAGGAUGGUUAGGAUAUCUAGGGGUGUAUAGCUUUCAAUUCGGUUCCGUAUUGAAAUCUGAAUUUGGUUUUGUAUUGAAUUUGAAUUUGGUUUUGUAUUGAAUUUGGAUACAGUUUUGGGCCUUUGGGGUUAAGAUCAUUUCUAAGGUUAAAUUGGAGCAAAAAACCUGAAAUUAAAGUCGAAAUUCCAAGGUUCAAUCACAAUUGGCUAAGAUUAAUUCCAAUAAAAUUAGAACCAAUUCUAGAA